rnacentral:rRNA from 1 species
GAGGAAUAUUGGUCAAUGGGCGAGAGCCUGAACCAGCCAAGUAGCGUGCAGGAUGACGGCCCUAUGGGUUGUAAACUGCUUUUAUGUGGGGAUAAAGUGAGCUACGUGUAGUUUAUUGCAGGUACCACAUGAAUAAGGACCGGCUAAUUCCGUGCCAGCAGCCGCGGUAAUACGGAAGGUCCAGGCGUUAUCCGGAUUUAUUGGGUUUAAAGGGAGCGUAGGCCGUGGAUUAAGCGUGUUGUGAAAUGUAGACGCUCAACGUCUGAAUUGCAGCGCGAACUGGUUCACUUGAGUAUGCACAACGUAGGCGGAAUUCGUCGUGUAGCGGUGAAAUGCUUAGAUAUGACGAAGAACUCCGAUUGCGAAGGCAGCUUACGGGAGCACAACUGACGCUGAAGCUCGAAGGUGCGGGUAUCAAACAGGAUUAGAUACCCUGGUAGUCCGCACAGUAAACGAUGGAUGCCCGUUGUUAGUUCACUUUAGAAUUAGCGACCAAGCGAAAGCAUUAAGCAUCCCACCUGGGGAGUACGCCGGCAACGGUG